rnacentral:rRNA from 1 species
GAUGAACGCUGGCGGCGUGCCUAAUACAUGCAAGUCGAGCGAACAGACGAUGAGCUUGCUCCUCUGACGUUAGCGGCGGACGGGUGAGUAACACGUGGAUAACCUACCUAUAAGACUGGGAUAACUUCGGGAAACCGGAGCUAAUACCGGAUAAUAUAUUGAUCCGCAUGGUUGAAUAGUGAAAGACGGUUUUGCUGUCUCUUCUAGAUGGAUCUGCGCCGUAUUAGCUGGUUGGUAAGGUAACGGCUUACCAAGGCAACGAGGCGUAACCGACCGGGUAGGGUGGUCGGCCGCCUUGGAGCGGAGACGGGGUCCAUGCUCCUAAGGGAGGCAGCAGUAGGGAAUCGGCCGCAACGGGCGGAAGCAUGACGGAGCAACGCCGCGUGAGUGAUGAAGGUCUUCGGAUCGUAAAACUCGGUUAUUAGGGAAGAACAAAUGUGUAAGUAACUAUGCACGUCUUGACGGUACCGAAUCAGAAAGCCACGGCUAACUACGUG